rnacentral:tRNA from 1 species
GGUUGUGGCUCAGUGGUGGAGCGCUUGCCUGGCAUGCAUGAGGCACUGGGUUUAAUUCUCAGCACUGAUUA